UACGGGGGGGGCAAGCGUUGUUCGGAAUUACUGGGCGUAAAGGGCUCGUAGGCGGCAACUAAGUCGGAUGUGAAAUCCCCAGGCUUAACCUGGGAACUGCAUCCGAUACUGGAUGGCUUGAAUCCGGGAGAGGGAUGCAGAAUUCCAGGUGUAGCGGUGAAAUGCGUAGAUAUCUGGAGGAAUACCGGUGGCGAAGGCGGCAUCCUGGACCGGCAUUGACGCUGAGGAGCGAAAGCAUGGGGAGCGAACAGG
rnacentral:rRNA from 1 species